GACGAACGCUGGCGGCGUGCCUAAUACAUGCAAGUCGAACGCAGUGGGGACGGGUGAGUAACACGUGGGUAACCUCCCAUCAGAGGGGAUAACACUUUGAAACAGGUGCUAAACCGAUACUGAUGGAUGGCCCCGCGGUGCAUUAGCUAGUUGGUGAGGUAACGGCUCACCAAGGCCACGAUGCAUAGCCGACCGGAGAGGGGGAGCGGCCGCACUGGGACUGAGACACGGCCCAGACUCCUACGGGAGGGAGCAGUAGGGAAUCUUCGGGAAUGGACGGAAGUCUGACCGAGCAGCGCGGAGUGAGUGAAGAGGGUUUUCGGAUCGUAAAGCUCGGUUGUAAGAGAGGCGAUAGCUUACCAGAAAGGGACGGCUAACUACGUGCCAGCAGCCGCGGUAAUAC
rnacentral:rRNA from 1 species